GGCCCAAAAGGAAAACAGAAAAAUGCACGCCCUCACCCCCGUGAGCCCACGCCCGUCACUCCCCACGAACGCCGCCUCCCUCUCUCCUACAUCGGCGCCGCCCUUACCUCGCGCCGGCAGCCGCUCUCCCUCGCGCGCCGACCUCCUCCACCCCCACGCUCAGGACGCCUUCCUUCCUGCGCUCCGGUCGCCUUUCUCCUCGCGCGCCGGCCUCCUCCCUACCCCGCGCUCCGUCUGCGUUUCUUCCCGCGCUCCGGCCAUCUUCCUCCCCGCGCUCCGGCCAUCUUCCUCCCCGCGCUCCGGCCGUCUUCCUCCCCGCACUCCGGCCGCCGCCUUCCUCCCUGCGCUCCGGCCUCCUUCCUCCCCGCAAUCCGUCCGCCUCCCUCCCCGCGCUCCGUCCACCUUCCUCCCCGAGAUCCGUCCGCCUUCUCCCCUGAGAUCCCACGGCCGUACCGCCGCCGGCCAACCCCUCCAUCUGUAAGUAAGGGCACUGGGCCGCCCUCCACACCGGGGUGGCCCUGCUAGCCAUCAGCGGGGGAAGCGGAGUGGCUGCCAUGGCGGGGGUGGAGACGAGUUCGUCCUGGGCGUGCGCAUCCUCGGGAAGUCCAUCUGCAAUAUGGGCACCUCGCCGAGACCUCAUAGUGCUCGUCCCAGACUACUCUCCGAAGCCACUCGAGGUGAAGAAUACACAGGAGGAUCUGCCCCAGCAAACCACAUGUCGCCGGAGGCGCUCUGCCUCUCCUAUGCACCCCCUGCUUCUAUCUCCACCGCCGCCCUCCCUUACCCCUCUGCAGUUCUUGGCACCACGGUUGUUGCCCCGCACUGGAUAGAUGCGCCGCUGUCGCUCUGUCGCCGCAUACAGAGAGUUCAACGCCGCAACCCCCGUCUGCUCAAUCUCACCGCCAUGGGCGUGCCCCACUCCAACUCCCUCGCCUGUGCUUCCAUGGCGAAACAGUGCAACCUGCAGGAGGAAUCGUGGGGGGUCGAGGACGUCCAGCUCGGCAAUCCAACUCGGCAUGAUUCACGUCAUCGUUGGCCCCAUGUUCGCUGGCAAGACCACCGCGCUUCUCCGCCGGCACCGACAGGUACUCACCCCCGUCCCGUCUCUUACUUACUGCUUCAUGUUGUGUUGCUAAAAAUAAAAAACAAGCAAGUUCAAAUUGAAAAAUAAUGAGAAGCUAGAUGUUUAAAAAAAUCAGAAGUUAUUUUAGUGAAUCUCUAUUGAAAAUUAGCUCACGUUUUAGUGAAUCAGAAGUGGUUUGUACUUUUUUACUUGAUGCGUGUUCUUGAGCAGUUCAAAACAUGUGCUUGUUCCGUGGUUUGCUAUAACACUUGUUAGAUUGCUCUAAAAGAAGUCAUGUAUUCGUGAAUUUUCUACUGGUGUAGCAGCCCUGUAUGUAUUUUAUCAUCAGUUCAUAAAGAAAAGCUGAAAACAGUGCAGUGUGCGUGUUAAAAAAAUAAUUCAGUUUCAUAUUGUAUGGUAGUUUUCACUUCAUAGAAAAUUUCUAACAGUUCGGCCAAAAUAAAGUUUGCAUAGUUCAUACUCAAGAGGCGGUAAUGUUCAAUGACAGAAAAACAUCAGUUCAAAUAUAUAUGCAGAAGGUUGAGAGCCAAAAAAAACUGAUUUUUUUAUGUGUUUAAUUUUUCACCUGUAAGAUAGAAAUUUUUCUCUCUUGUCUAUCUUGGUUCUCUGGAAAAUUGGGCUGGGAGUCGACAAGCCGGGCAAAAUAUGUUGCUACUUCUACAGUAUCAAAGAUGAUGAGAUUCUAGUCUUGCUCGUCGAGGACCCAAUCACAGGGCAGUCUAUCGGUGCUGCAAUGCAUUAGGAAAAGUUCAAGUUUCCUAUUAGAUUUAGUUCUAUUGGAAAAGGGUCGCCCUCACCGCGCUUAUCCCCGUCGCCGGAGGGCCGACGUGCAAGGGUUGGGCCACAGCCGACACUUCCGGUCGUGCCCUACCACCGCUCAAUCUUCUCGCCUAACCCCCUUCCUCCCCGAUCUUCUAUUGAUGUACCCCAACUACCACUGGAGCUUCGGGGAGCACUCCUCCGUCCAAGUUGAGCAUUGGGCGCCGUCCGAGUAGAGCACUGCACCCCGUCCAAGUCCCCAUCUAAUGUUGAACGUUCAAUUUUGUCAUGUUGAAUAAUAUAGCGUUGAGCACCCUACAAUUUUUUUUCGCUUGAGAGCUGAGCAAACAGUGGAGCCUGCUGGAGGAGUCACGGGGUCGAGGACCUCCUGCUCAACAAUACAACUUCUUGUUUUGUGGCCGGACGCUCAAGAUAUGUAUGUGGUCCCAAAAAAACAUUUGUCAGGUUUUUGGUGGCCAAGUAUUAUUGAUAUGGAGAUGAAUAACUAUGCGGAUGCGCUCCUGUUGUUUUUCUCAAAAAAACAAGAUGCCAUGUUUACACAUCCAUAUUUAAUUUUGGAAGGUUCACACAUCCAUAUUAGAGAGAUUCAUCGGACAUAAUUUUGUAAGGUCAGAAAAAGCAAUUGCUCAGUACAUCACAGCAGCUCUUCGAUGCAAAAAGGAUGGCUCUUCUCAAGUCAGCAGCUAGCCAAACUGGCAACUUCUGGGUAGCUCAGUCAAAUAUGGCAGUUGUGCAGUAAACAGUUUCAGUUGAGAAAUCAGCAAGCGCCAUGCUCAGUCCAACCGCGUGGCUUCGGGGUGGCCGAGUUCGUCGUGACCAUCAGUUCGGAGACCUGCGUCACUGCACGUGUCGCUACCAUGGCCCCCUGUGUCACUACGUGCUCCGUCAACAACCUCCUGCACAAGGAAAGGCAACAGGAGUAGAGGCGUCUGAGAUGCUCUGUUCUAGCGAGGUGGCUGAUUAUGUUUGUUAGUUUGUAAUACUUCGGCCGCGGUGUACUUAUGUAUCUUUUUCUGGCUGGAGCACGACCAGAGCUUAUGUCAGUAUGAAUUUUGAUUGUGAUGGUACCACAAACUCUAUAAAAACUCCAGCAAUCCAAUCCAUUUUUACUGGUACUUACCUUUUAUAAAAUUCA